GGCGUCGUAGCCAAGUGGCUAAGGCGGCGGAUUGCAAAUCCGCUAUUCGUGGGUUCGACUCCCACCGACGCCU
rnacentral:tRNA from 1 species